CCAGCUGGAAACAGGUAACUGAGAAUAGU
rnacentral:piRNA from 1 species